rnacentral:lncRNA from 1 species
AGGUUGCCCGGGCACCCGAAGCAGCAUUGCGACUCCGCUUCCUCUAGCACCCUGGUGCCUCAGUGGUCAGGCUGUCUGAAAGCUACCCUGCCCUCUAACGCUGUGCCCUUUCCGUCUCUGCCAGUUCUCCACCAUGCCCGGGGGCGUGCCCUGGUCGGUCUACUUGAAAAUGCUCUCCUCCAGCCUCCUGGCCAUGUGCGCCGGAGCCCAGGUGGUGCACUGGUACUACCGGCCUGACCUGACAAUACCUGAAAUUCCACCAAAGCCUGGAGAACUCAGAACGGAGCUUUUGGGACUGAGGGAGAGACACCGUGAAUCUCAGGUCUCACAGCAGUAGAAACCUCAAAAUACAGCUGUGCAAAGAACUCUGUGAAUGAUGCUUUAAAUAUGUAUUUUAAAAUUUAUUAAGUAAAACAACUUUUUUUUUU